AUACGGAGGAUCCGAGCGUUAUCCGGAUUUAUUGGGCUUAAAGGGUGCGUAGGCGGAUGUUUAAGUCGGUUGUGAAAGUUCAAGGCUCAACCUGGAAAUUGCAGUUGAUACUGAACGUCUUGAGUGCGUUCAAUGUAGGCGGAAUUCGUGGUGUAGCGGUGAAAUGCUUAGAUAUCACGAAGAAGUCCAAUUGCUAAGGCAGCUCACAGGACGGUAACUGACGCUGAUGCUCGAAAGUGUGGGUAUCAAACAGGAUUAGAUACCCUGGUAGUCCACACAGUAAACGAUGAAUACUCGCUGUUUGCGAUAUACAGUAAGCGGCCAAGCGAAAGCGUUAAGUAUUCCACCUGGGGAGUACGCCGGCAACGGUGA
rnacentral:rRNA from 1 species